AUGUACAUGCCUACAAUAUAGUGUUAAUGCAUUGGAUCCCAUUAGAACUCCACAGUUAAGUGUGCUUGGGAUAGAGUAGUACUGGGAUGGGUGACUGCCUGGGAAUUCCUAGUAUUUUACAUC
rnacentral:rRNA from 1 species